UGCAGUCGAGCGGAUGACGGGAGCUUGCUCCUUGAUUCAGCGGCGGACGGGUGAGUAAUGCCUAGGAAUCUGCCUGGUAGUGGGGGACAACGUUUCGAAAGGAACGCUAAUACCGCAUACGUCCUACGGGAGAAAGCAGGGGACCUUCGGGCCUUGCGCUAUCAGAUGAGCCUAGGUCGGAUUAGCUAGUAGGUGAGGUAAUGGCUCACCUAGGCGACGAUCCGUAACUGGUCUGAGAGGAUGAUCAGUCACACUGGAACUGAGACACGGUCCAGACUCCUACGGGAGGCAGCAGUGGGGAAUAUUGGACAAUGGGCGAAAGCCUGAUCCAGCCAUGCCGCGUGUGUGAAGAAGGUCUUCGGAUUGUAAAGCACUUUAAGUUGGGAGGAAGGGCAGUAAGUUAAUACCUUGCUGUUUUGACGUUACCGACAGAAUAAGCACCGGCUAACUCUGUGCCAGCAGCCGCGGUAAUACAGAGGGUGCAAGCGUUAAUCGGAAUUACUGGGCGUAAAGCGCGCGUAGGUGGUUCGUUAAGUUGGAUGUGAAAGCCCCGGGGCUCAACCUGGGAACUGCAUCCAAAACUGGCGAGCUAGAGUAUGGUAGAGGGUGGUGGAAUUUCCUGUGUAGCGGUGAAAUGCGUAGAUAUAAGGAAGGAACACCAG
rnacentral:rRNA from 1 species